rnacentral:rRNA from 1 species
UUUGAUAGUCAUAAAGGCUGUUUCAAAGAUUAAGCCAUGCAUGUCUAAGUAUAAGCAGUAUACCGUGAAACUGCGAAUGGCUCAUAAAUCAGUAUCGUUAUUUGAUAAUACCUUACUACUGGAUAACCGUGGUAAUUCUAGAGCUAAUACAUGCUGAAAAUCCCGACUUCGGAAGGGAUGUGUUUAUUAGAUAAAAAACCAAUGCCUUUCGGGGCUUUUUGGUGAUUCAUGAUAACUUUACGGAUCGCAUAGCCUUGCGCUGGCGACGGUUCAUUCAAAUUUCUGCCCUAUCAACUUUCGAUGGUAAGGUAUUGGCUUACCAUGGUUUCAACGGGUAACGGGGAAUUAGGGUUCGAUUCCGGAGAGGGAGCCUGAGAAACGGCUACCACAUCCAAGGAAGGCAGCAGGCGCGCAAAUUACCCAAUCCCGACACGGGGAGGUAGUGACAAUAAAUACUGAUACAGGGCUCUUUUGGGUCUUGUAAUUGGAAUGAGUACAAUUUAAACCUCUUAACGAGGAACAAUUGGAGGGCAAGUCUGGUGCCAGCAGCCGCGGUAAUUCCAGCUCCAAUAGCGUAUAUUAAAGUUGUUGCAGUUAAAAAGCUCGUAGUUGAAACUUGGGUCUGGCUGGCGGGUCCGCCUCACCGCGUGCACUCGUCCGGCCGGGCCUUCCUUCUGAAGAACCUCAUGCCCUUCACUGGGCGUGUUGGGGAAUCAGGACUUUUACUUUGAAAAAAUUAGAGUGUUCAAAGCAGGCCUUUGCUCGAAUACGUUAGCAUGGAAUAAUAAAAUAGGGCGUGCGUUUCUAUUUUGUUGGUUUCUAGAGACGCCGCAAUGAUUAACAGGAACAGUCGGGGGCAUCAGUAUUCAGUUGUCAGAGGUGAAAUUCUUGGAUUUACUGAAGACUAACUACUGCGAAAGCAUUUGCCAAGGAUGUUUUCAUUAAUCAGUGAACGAAAGUUAGGGGAUCGAAGACGAUCAGAUACCGUCGUAGUCUUAACCGUAAACUAUGCCGACUAGGGAUCGGGCGAUGUUCUUUUUCUGACUCGCUCGGCACCUUACGAGAAAUCAAAGUUUUGGGUCUGGGGGAUUAGCCCCCC